rnacentral:rRNA from 1 species
UACGUAGGGCGCAAGCGUUGUCCGGAAUUAUUGGGCGUAAAGAGCUCGUAGGCGGUUUGUCGCGUCUGCUGUGAAAACCUAAGGCUCAACCUUGGGCUUGCAGUGGGUACGGGCAGACUAGAGUGCGGUAGGGGUGACUGGAAUUCCUGGUGUAGCGGUGGAAUGCGCAGAUAUCAGGAGGAACACCGAUGGCGAAGGCAGGUCACUGGGCCGCAACUGACGCUGAGGAGCGAAAGCUAGGGGAGCAAACGGG